UUAAGUCCCGCAACGAGCGCAACCCACGCCAUUAGUUGCCAUCAUUUAGUUGGGCACUCUAAUGGGACCGCCGGUGGUAAGCCGGAGGAAGGUGUGGAUGACGUCAAGUCCUCAUGGCCCUUACAGGGUGGGCUACACACGUGCUACAAUGGCGACUACAGAGGGUUGCAAGCCAGCGAUGGUGAGCCAAUCCCAAAAAGUCGUCUCAGUUCGGAUUGCACUCUGCAACUCGAGUGCAUGAAGUCGGAAUCGCUAGUAAUCGCGGAUCAGCAUGCCGCGGUGAAUACGUUCCCGGGCCUU
rnacentral:rRNA from 1 species